rnacentral:rRNA from 1 species
GAUGAACGCUGGCGGCGUGCUUAACACAUGCAAGUCGAACGGGAUCCAAGGGGUGCUUGCACUUUUUGGUGAGAGUGGCGAACGGGUGAGUAACACGUGAGUAACCUGUCCUUUUCUUUGGGAUAAGCAUUCGAAAGGGUGUUUAAUACCUUAUGUUCUGUCUGCCUCGCAUGGGGUGGGUGGGAAAGGCUUUGGCCGGAUUUGGGUGGGCUCGCGGUCUAUCUGCUUGUUUGGGGGGUGAUGGCUUACCAAGGCUUUGGCGGGUAGCCGGGCGUAGAGGGUGUUCGGUCGUAUUGGGACUGAGAUACGGUCCAGACUCCUGCAGGAGGCAGCAGUGGGGGAUAGUGCACAAUGGGCGAAAGCCUGAUGCAGCGACGCCGCGUGGGGGAUGAAGGCGUUCGGGUUGUAAACUUCUUUUGCUCUGAACAAGGCAUGCCAGUGGGUGUGUUGAGUGUAGGGGUAGAUUAGCGCCGGCUAACUACGUG